rnacentral:rRNA from 1 species
UUAAUACCGGAUAGAUCAAAGAAACUGGAAUGUUCUCUGGUUUAAAACUCUGGUGCCCAAGGAUGGGUCUGCGGCCUAUCAGGUAGUAGUGGGUGUAACGUACCUACUAGCCUACGACGGGUAAGGGUUGUGAGAGCAAGAGCCCUGAGAUGGAUUCUGAGACAUGAAUCCAGGCCCUACGGGGUGCAGCAGGCGCGAAAACUUUACACUGCGGGAAACCGCGAUAAGGGGACCCCGAGUGCCAGCACCUAGUGCUGGCUGUCCAGCUGUCCAAAUAACAGUUGUUAGCAAGGGCCGGGCAAGACCGGUGCCAGCCGCCGCGGUAACACCGGCGGCCCGAGUGGUAGCCGUUAUUAUUGGGUUUAAAGGGUCCGUAGCUGGCCUAUUAAGUCUCUUGGGAAAUCUGGCGACUCAAUCGUCAGGCGUUCA